rnacentral:lncRNA from 1 species
CACACCGUCGGAUGAGAAAUAGAAGUAAUUCAUUUUGUUAUUAUUAAAGGAUAAUGUUAUGAUGUUUUAUCAUAAUUAUCUUUUAAUAAUAGUUUAUUAUGAAGGUUGAGAUGUAUUUCCAACUGGAAACAUGUCAGCACAGUUCAAGUUGAUAUCCGGAUGUGGGUGUGCGGCACAAUUCAAAAUGGAUUUUAAAAUUUAUUUAGGUAGGAUCAGGAUACAUGAUGAUGGCCUUGGGUGAUGGAUAAGACAAGGAGUCUAGGAAGGCUAAGCUUUUGGUAGAGAUGUGAUAAGCCUAGGUGGUAAUGAUGAUACAAGAAACCUAGGUAGACUAGGUUUUUGCAUGGUGAUAAAGUUUUCUACUGGAGGUUUUUAAUUAGAUCAGAAGCCUAGAUGGGCUAGGUUUCUGAUGUGGUAUGACAAAGCCUAGAUAAGCUUUAUUUUAGAAGUUGCGAAAUCUGA